CACAGGAUGUUAUGAAAGUGAAAACAUGGAGUAUGAUUUCAAGACUUGCUGCUAUCGAAUACAGAUCGCCCCGUGAUCAAUUUGAUAGAUUAUUAACGUUUAUUAAUACCUAAAGUUGGUUUAGAAAAGUAGUUUGAAGUGAUUUGUAAAAGUAUAUAGGCAACUUUUGUAAUUUUAAAAAGUGACAUUGCGUCUUGUAGAGGGGCAUUUUUCUGGAUCAGACCGGUCUUCAGCAAAUCACAUUUUGGGUAUACAAUGACGGAUUUAAUCGGGAAAAAGACCCAAUUGUGAUGUUUAUGUGACAUAUAGGAGUGCCAAGAAAGAAGCUCGUCAAAGGACUCGAGACCACAGCAGCGAUCCUGCUCUUGCCCUACUUCUUCAAAGAGGACCAGAGUGGCCUUUGCACAAAUGAUCUGUUUCUUCAUAAACAUAGGUUUCACCGCUCUUCACUCCUUUACUGCACAUUGGCGGAAAUCCAUUUCACCAUGAGAGUGAAAUCCCGCUGGCCUUUGAUGGGGAGAACAUCCACGCCCUAGAGGACGUCCCCAUGGGACUUGGGGCUCUGUUAGGGCUGUAUUUUUUUUUUCCCCUUAAAAUUCCCAAAAAUGUCAGAAAAACACUUAUGUUCUUAAGUUACUGUGUUAAGACAAUUUGGGGUGAAGUUACCAGGGCCGGUCAUAAAGAUGACAAACUUCCUAACAUAACUAAGUGGUUGUUGGGCAAGUGGUUGUUAGACACACACACACACACACACACACACACACACACACACACACACACACUAAAGCUAAAAAAUCUGUAUUUAGCAAGUCUACAACCAUAAUAAAUAAUACAUUAACUUUGUAUAGUGCUUUUCAUUACAUUUAAAAUGUUUUUUUAAUAAUGAUGUACAAUAAAAACAACAUACAUUAAAAAUGAAUCAUAGGUAAACUAACAACUAGUAAACUAGCAAUUUUGUAGUGUGUUUUCUU
ensembl:lncRNA